rnacentral:lncRNA from 1 species
AUUUGUGAGAUGCUGUAAAUUAAUGUUAACUUCAUAGCUUCUGUUUGAUAGGGCGCUAAUGAAACAGCUAAUUAGGAAGUAUUACCUUAUACAAUGUUUCAUUGUUACGAGAGAGGGAAAAUGCUUUAUGUAGAAAUAAAAGAUUUCAUUAAAGCCAAGAUUUUUUCCCUAACUACAAGUUUUUAAUACUGUGGUUCAACAAACCAUUAAAUGGAUUUCAUUCUUAACUUUUUCCUCUCUAAUAAGUCUAAACACUUGAUUUAGCGCGUUUCACAGGGCACUUUGCACACUGAUAUAUAGAGGUUUUGAUACAAACCCAGGGUGCCUCCAUUUGAGGGGAGAUCAGAAGCAAGGCAAGGAGAAUGCUGGGAUAGAAUACUCAGACUUUCACAGAACAGAAUAAUAUAAUACCCAUCAUUCUACAAUUUACCCACCCCUCCUCCAAAUUUUCUUGAAGUCCUUACAAAACCCUGAAGACAGGCUUCCGUGUUACUUCGGCUCCAAAAACUAGUUGUGAAACAGAUACCUAAACAAUAUUUAUUUUGAAUGUGUACUCACACGGUUACCAAACAAUUCCAGUAAAUUGGGCCGGAGAGUGAGUUUUAUUUGUCUCUAGCCCAGGUGCUCCAUCUCCCCAGUUCUGGGCAUUUCGAGGUGAAAAGGAAUUUAAAAGACAACCAGAUCACAUCCUUCAUUCUGCAACUGACGAACCCGAGGUCCCGAGAGCUAGAUGACUCAGCCCCCCGUCAGACAGUGAGUCACUACCAGGGAGCUUGAGCUGGCUAUUCUCUUAUUCAUGGAAGUUCUGAGCGGUCGUGGCUAUGUUGAUAUGAUGUCUGUGCUGAGUUCAGCAUUGUUGUGGUGAGCUCCUGGGAAAAGAGGGCACCAGGUUGUCUAAGGAAGCAGCAAACUGGCCUAGGUAAUAUGUAUCCCUAUCUAGAUUUAUGUAUAACUAUGUCAUCUGUAUCAUCUAGAGAUACUUUUCUU